rnacentral:rRNA from 1 species
AAUGAACGUUGGCGGCGUGGAUUAGGCAUGCAAGUCGAGCGCUCACCCGCAAGGGUGGGAGCGGCGAAAGGGAGAGUAACGCGUGGGUAUCUGCCCUCGGGACUGGGAUAGCUGCGGGAAACUGCAGGUAAUACCAGAUGACGUCCCCGGACCAAAGGUGUGAUUCCGCCUGAGGAUGAGCCCGCGUCCUAUUAGCUUGUUGGUGGGGUAAUGGCCUACCAAGGCAAUGAUGGGUACUGGGUGUGAGAGCACGACCCAGCUCACUGGGACUGAGACACUGCCCAGACACCUACGGGUGGCUGCAGUCGAGAAUCUUCGGCAAUGGGCGAAAGCCUGACCGAGCGACGCCGCGUGUGGGAUGAAGGCCUUCGGGUUGUAAACCGCUGUCAGAGGGGAGGAAUGGGCGGAGGGUAAUCUCUUCGUUUUGACCUAUCCUCAGAGGAAGUACGGGCUAAGUUCGUGCCAGCCGCCGCCGUAAUAC